rnacentral:ncRNA from 1 species
UACUCUAAAUGUAGAUUUAGAGGUACUGUAUUUCUGUCAAGUAUUUAUAUACGAUUUCUCGCAAGAAAUCCACU